UACGGAGGGGGCGAGCGUUAUUCGGAAUCAUUGGGCGUAAAGGGCGCGUAGGCGGCCCCGUAAGUCUUGGGUGAAAGCCCUCGGCUCAACCGAGGAAUUGCCUUGGAUACUGCGGGGCUCGAGGCUGGAAGAGGACAGUGGAAUUCCCGGUGUAGCGGUGAAAUGCGUAGAGAUCGUAAGGAAGACCAGUGGCGAAGGCGGGUCUCUGGACAGUUCCUGACACUGAGGCACGAAGGCCAGGGGAGCAAACGGG
rnacentral:rRNA from 1 species